GGAGCGGGCUGCGCGGCCGCGCGCGGACUUGCGCCGCGGGAGGAAAGUCCGGGCUCCGCAGGGCAGGGUGGUGGAUAACGUCCACCGGGGGCGACCCCAGGGAAAGUGCCACAGAAAACAGACCGCCCCGGACCUCGGUUCGGAGCAAGGGUGAAAAGGUGCGGUAAGAGCGCACCAGCGGUCCGGGUGACCGGACCGGCUUGGUAAACCCCACCCGGAGCAAGGCCAAAUAGGAGGGUUGGAUGGUCCGUCCUUAGCCCUCGGGUAAGGUCGCUGGAUCCCAUGCGCAAGCAUGGGACUAGAAGAAUGAACGCUCUGGCUUCCUAUUAGGGGGCCUGAC
rnacentral:RNase_P_RNA from 1 species